rnacentral:rRNA from 1 species
GCCUGAUCCAGCAAUGCCGCGUGUGUGAAGAAGGCCUUCGGGUUGUAAAGCACUUUUGUCAGGGAAGAAACGGCUCCGGCUAAUAUCCGGGGCUAAUGACGGUACCUGAAGAAUAAGCACCGGCUAACUACGUGCCAGCAGCCGCGGUAAUACGUAGGGUGCAAGCGUUAAUCGGAAUUACUGGGCGUAAAGCGUGCGCAGGCGGUUGUGUAAGUCAGAUGUGAAAUCCCCGGGCUCAACCUGGGAAUUGCAUUUGAGACUGCACGGCUAGAGUGUGUCAGAGGGGGGUAGAAUUCCACGUGUAGCAGUGAAAUGCGUAGAGAUGUGGAGGAAUACCGAUGGCGAAGGCAGCCCCCUGGGAUAACACUGACGCUCAUGCACGAAAGCGUGGGGAGCAAACAGGAUUAGAUACCCUGGUAGUCCACGCCCUAAACGAUGUCUACUAGUUGUCGGGUCUUAAUUGACUUGGUAACGCAGCUAACGCGUGAAGUAGACCGCC